rnacentral:rRNA from 1 species
UGAGCAAUGGAGGGACGCAGGAGGCUAAGGAAUGCAGACGAUUGGAAAUGUCUGUCCAAGCAGUAAGUCUGAAGAGGAGUCAAAUGCUUCUUUUCUUAAGGACAAGCUGUGAUGGGGAGGGAAAUAAUAGUACCGAAGUUCCUGAUGUCACACUGCCGAGAAAAGCUUCUAGUGAGAAAACAGCGGCCCGUACCGCAAACCGACACAGGUAGUCGAGGAGAGAAUCCUAAGGUGAGCGAGAGAACUCUCGUUAAGGAACUCGGCAAAAUGACCCCGUAACUUCGGGAGAAGGGGUGCUGAUCAUACGAUCAGCCGCAGUGAAUAGGCCCAAGCGACUGUUUAUCAAAAACACAGGUCUCUGCAAAAUCGUAAGAUGAAGUAUAGGGGCUGACGCCUGCCCGGUGCUGGAAGGUUAAGAGGAGUGCUUAGCGCAAGCGAAGGUACGAAUUGAAGCCCCAGUAAACGGCGGCCGUAACUAUAACGGUCCUAAGGUAGCGAAAUUCCUUGUCGGGUAAGUUCCGACCCGCACGAAAGGCGUAACGAUUUGGGCACUGUCUCAACGAGAGACUCGGUGAAAUUUUAGUACCUGUGAAGAUGCAGGUUACCCGCGACAGGACGGAAAGACCCCAUGGAGCUUUACUGUAGUUUGAUAUUGAGUGUCUGUACCGCAUGUACAGGAUAGGUAGGAGCCGUAGAAAUCGGAACGCUAGUUUCGAUGGAGGCGCUGGUGGGAUACUACCCCUGCGUUAUG